UAACGGCGAGUGAAGAGGGAAGAGCCCAAGAUUGAAAGCUGCGCGUCUUCGGCGUCCGCAUUGUAAUCUCAAGAAGUGUUUUCCGCUUCGGACCAUGCCUAAGUCCCUUGGAAAAGGGCAUCAUAGAGGGUGAUAAUCCCGUACAUGGCAUGGAGCGCCCGAGGCUUUGUGAUACGCUUUCUAAGAGUCGAGUUGUUUGGGAAUGCAGCUCAAAAUGGGUGGUAAAUGCCAUCUAAGGCUAAAUAUUGGGGAGAGACCGAUAGCGAACAAGUACAGUGAUGGAAAGAUGAAAAGAACUUUGAAAAGAGAGUUAAACAGUACGUGAAAUUGCCAAAAGGGAAGGGUAGGAGGUCAGAGAUGCGUCUUGGGAUUCAGCCUUGCUUUUGCUUGGUGUUUUUCCCAAGUUGCAGGCCAACGUCGGUUUUGGGCACUGGAGAAGGGUGGAAGGAACGUGGCACCUCUCGGGGUGUGUUAUAGCCUUCUACUGGAUACAGCGACCGAGACCGAGGACAGCAGCGUACUCGCAAGAGCGGGCCUUCGGGCACCUUUACGCUUAGGGCGUUGGCAUAAUGGCCCUCUACCACCCGUCUUGAACCACGGGACCA
rnacentral:rRNA from 1 species